GACGAACCGUCCUAACGUUGUUCGGAAUCACUGGGCUUAAAGGGCGCGUAGGCGGGUUCCCAAGUCGGUGGUGAAAUCUUUCGGCCCAACCGGAAAACAGCCGCCGAUACUGGGAGUCUUGAGGGAGGUAGGGGUCGAUGGAACUUCCGGUGGAGCGGUGAAAUGCGUAGAUAUCGGAAGGAACGCCGGUGGCGAAAGCGAUCGACUGGACCUUUUCUGACGCUGAGGCGCGAAAGCCAGGGGAGCAAACAGG
rnacentral:rRNA from 1 species